AUUAGAUACCCGGGUAGUCCACGCCGUAAACGAUGGAUACUAGCUGUUGGAGGUAUCGACCCCUUCAGUAGCGAAGCUAACGCGUUAAGUAUCCCGCCUGUGGAGUACGGCCGCAAGGCUAAAACAUAAAGGAAUUGACGGGGACCCGCACAAGCGGUGGAUUAUGUUCUUUAAUUCGAUGAUAACCGAAGAACCUUACCAGGGCUUGACAUCCAGGGAAGGUCUGCGAAAGUAGACUGUGCCUUUUGGAACCCUGUGACAGGUGAUGCAUGGCCGUCGUCAGCUCGUGUCGUGAGAUGUUAGGUUAAGUCCUUCAACGAGCGCAACCCUUGUGAAUAGUUGUAUUUUUCUAUUCAGACUGCCCCGGUAACGGGGAGGAAGGAGGGGAUGAUGUCAGGUCAGUAUUUCCCUUACGUCCUGGGCUAGAAACGUAAUACAAUGGCUAGUACAAUGCGCANGCGAAGCCGCGAGGUGAAGCAAAUCGCAUCAAAGCUAGUCCCAGUUCGGAUUGUAGGCUGAAACUCGCCUGCAUGAAGUCGGAAUCGCUAGUAAUCGCAGGUCANGCACACUGCGGUGAAUACGUUCCCGGGUCUUGUACACACCNGCCCGUCAAGCCAUGAAAGUCACCAACACCCGAAGUCUGAAUUUAUUUCGGCCUAAGGUGGGGGGGAUAAUUGGGGUU
rnacentral:rRNA from 1 species